rnacentral:misc_RNA from 1 species
UGGUUCUGGCAUCGAUGAAGAACGCAGCGAAAUGCGAUAAGUAAUGUGAAUUGCAGAAUUCAGUGAAUCAUCGAAUCUUUGAACGCACAUUGCGCCCUUUGGCAUUCCGAGGGGCAUGCCCGUUCGAGCGUCAUUAAAUCCACUCAAGCCUGGCUUGGUCUUGGGCGCCGGAGACCUCUCCGCGCCUCUAUUUCGCCGGCUGGCCGUCGUUUGACUUAGCGUUGUGACACAUGUCGCUAACGACGAAGACGGACCGCGCCGUGAAAAUCUCCUUGAACAUUCACCAAUGUUCAGUAAAGGUUGACCUCGGAUCGGGUAGGAAUACCCGCUGA